CAUUUCAGUGGAAUGUGGUGACGUUAGUUUGAAGUGCCAGUGUUACUGACAUCUGUUACCUGAAAAAUCUAAGUUUCAGUGUGGAAUGAGAGGAAGGUGAUGACAGGAGUGAUAUGUGGGACUCGGGAGCAGACUCCACAUCAACUGCAGCAGAGGCUAUAUUCACAAGAGGAUCUAAGUGCUAUUCACAAAAGAAGAGGACCUACAGCUAGGAGACUUGACUAAGAUGUGGGAGACCUUAGUUCAAAACCACGUUCUGUUGGAUUACGCUCGUAUGGUACUGGAAGAACAAAAUAAUGGCAUAAGAAAUCUUUCGUUUUCCUGAUUUCAUUUACUUUAUGUUAUGAAGACUAUAACUUCACAGGUGACAUAAUUAAAGUUAAUAAAAAUGACUCUAAGAUUUCUCGUGCAACAUAAUCAAAUAAGAUUUGCAAAAAGUAAAUCUAUAAGCCAUCUCUGGGGGAUCUGAGCAGCUCCCUAUAGUUAGAAAGACACAAGCUACUUAUCACCUUUCCUCUGCUGAAUAUUGUAAUGCUCUGACAACCUGUCAGUACACAAUACAUAAAAGCACUGUAUCUAAUAGCAUAAUGCAACAGUCUUCCCCUUCAGGACACACAUUUUCCACCCCCUUCACAUACAUAAGGCUUUUUCUUCAUCUUACUGACUCAGAUCAAAGAUUCAAUUCUCCCUAGAUUUUAUUUCUUUUUGAAAACUCAGUCGCGUUUCUUUACACCCAGAAGAAUUCAGAUGAUUGAAUAGAUUUUCUGCUCUGAACAAUAUACAACGGAUCUUUUUGUUAGGGUUGUCUCUUUUUUCCUUUAUUUUACAAUAGGCCAUUGGGACAUUAAUUGCAUACUCUUGAAAGGGAUUUGAAAGGUAGUACAAAAUAUUUUUACAUUAGGUAAUCUUUUUUGGGUUGUUGUUUUGGUUAUUCUUUUGUUCCCAUUGUUCACAGGAAAAAAAUCAGGCAGAAAUAAGGCAGAAAUAUUACCUGUAGAAAAUGCAUGGAAUCAAAAAACAAGGUCAUUUACUGAAUCAAAA